rnacentral:lncRNA from 1 species
GGGAGUGCUCUGCUGUCUGACUGCUGGACUGGAGUGUGCCUCCUAGUAGACUCUGAUGGUCCAGCCUCGGGAUCAGAAACGAAUUGAAUGUCUGGAGAUGCAGCCCUGAUGUCAUGGAGGGUUGAUGAAGGACCUUCUUCCUCAGCUCUAUCCUCAACUCUCUCUUCUACACUUUUAGUCCAACCACCAUCUGUCUUAGUAAAUCCCAUGCGGUGCAAAGUAUGUUGGUUGAUGGUGUCAGAGUGAGAAAGUCUAGCUGCUGUCUCCCCC